CUGCCAGUGGUUUCCUGGUACUUCCCUUGUAUGGUGAUGGGAUUCUCAGCCAUUUGCAGAUACAAAAGUAGUGUCUGACAGGCUGAAUGAAGAAAGUUUCAGUGGAAUUAUUCUUGAUCAACAACACACGCAAACUAGAUCCAAACCUCUGUGUUCUAUAUCUUGAAAGAUUCAUAUCAUAUCUCAAAAUAAAUCUAAAGCUUAAAUUUUUUGAGUAAUGAUUCUGAUUCUUUCUCCAAAAUGGUCCCUUACAGG
rnacentral:lncRNA from 1 species